GCAUAUCAAUAAGCGGAGGAAAAGAAACCAACAGGGAUUGCCUUAGUAACGGCGAGUGAAGCGGCAAAAGCUCAAAUUUGAAAUCUGGCACCUUCGGUGUCCGAGUUGUAAUUUGAAGAAGGUAACUUUGGAGUUGGCUCUUGUCUAUGUUCCUUGGAACAGGACGUCACAGAGGGUGAGAAUCCCGUGCGAUGAGAUGCCCAAUUCUAUGUAAAGUGCUUUCGAAGAGUCGAGUUGUUUGGGAAUGCAGCUCUAAGUGGGUGGUAAAUUCCAUCUAAAGCUAAAUAUUGGCGAGAGACCGAUAGCGAACAAGUACAGUGAUGGAAAGAUGAAAAGAACUUUGAAAAGAGAGUGAAAAAGUACGUGAAAUUGUUGAAAGGGAAGGGCUUGAGAUCAGACUUGGUAUUUUGCGAUCCUUUCCUUCUUGGUUGGGUUCCUCGCAGCUUACUGGGCCAGCAUCGGUUUGGAUGGUAGGAUAAUGACUAAGGAAUGUGGCUCUACUUCGGUGGAGUGUUAUAGCCUUGGUUGAUACUGCCUGUCUAGACCGAGGACUGCGUCUUUUGACUAGGAUGUUGGCAUAAUGAUCUUAAGCCACCCGUCUUGAAACACGG
rnacentral:rRNA from 1 species